GAUGAACGCUGGCGGCGUGCCUAACACAUGCAAGUCGAGCGAUUCUCAUCGGAGAAGAGCGGCGGACGGGUGAGUAACGCGUGGGUAACCUGCCCUGUACACACGGAUAACAUACCGAAAGGUAUGCUAAUACGAGAUAAUAUGCUUUUAUCGCAUGGUAGAAGUAUCAAAGCUCCGGCGGUACAGGAUGGACCCGCGUCUGAUUAGCUAGUUGGUAAGGUAACGGCUUACCAAGGCGACGAUCAGUAGCCGACCUGGGAGGGUGAUCGGCCACAUUGGAACUGAGACACGGUCCAAACUCCUACGGGAGGCAGCAGUGGGGAAUAUUGCACAAUGGGCGAAAGCCUGAUGCAGCAACGCCGCGUGAGCGAUGAAGGCCUUCGGGUCGUAAAGCUCUGUCCUCAAGGAAGAUAAUGACGGUACUUGAGGAGGAAGCCCCGGCUAACUACGUGCCAGCCGCCGCGGUAA
rnacentral:rRNA from 1 species